rnacentral:rRNA from 1 species
UACGGGAGGCAGCAGUGGGGAAUCUUAGACAAUGGGCGCAAGCCUGAUCUAGCCAUGCCGCGUGAGUGAUGAAGGCCUUAGGGUCGUAAAGCUCUUUCGCCUGUGAAGAUAAUGACUGUAGCAGGUAAAGAAACCCCGGCUAACUCCGUGCCAGCAGCCGCGGUAAUACGGAGGGGGUUAGCGUUGUUCGGAAUUACUGGGCGUAAAGCGCACGUAGGCGGAUCAGAAAGUUGGGGGUGAAAUCCCGGGGCUCAACCCCGGAACUGCCUCCAAAACUCCUGGUCUUGAGUUCGAGAGAGGUAAGUGGAAUUCCGAGUGUAGAGGUGAAAUUCGUAGAUAUUCGGAGGAACACCAGUGGCGAAGGCGACUUACUGGCUCGAUACUGACGCUGAGGUGCGAAAGUGUGGGGAGCAAACAGGAUUAGAUACCCUGGUAGUCCACACCGUAAACGAUGAAUGCCAGACGUCGGCAAGCAUGCUGUCGGUGUCACACCUAACGGAUAAG